UACGGGGGGGGGCAAGCGUUGUUCGGAAUUACUGGGCGUAAAGGGCUCGUAGGCGGCCAACUAAGUCGGACGUGAAAUCCCUCGGCUUAACCGGGGAACUGCGUCCGAUACUGGAUGGCUUGAGUGUGGGAGAGGGAUGCGGAAUUCCAGGUGUAGCGGUGAAAUGCGUAGAUAUUGGGAAGAACACCGGUGGCGAAGGCGGCUCUCUGGACCACAACUGACGCUGAGGCGCGAAAGCGUGGGGAGCAAACAGGG
rnacentral:rRNA from 1 species